rnacentral:lncRNA from 1 species
CUCUGCAACUUUUUGUCAUGCAACCAGGAAAUUUAGGAUCCAAAUCUAAAACCAGAACACCAACUUUAAGAGUUGAACUCGGACCAUGAUACACCAGUACAUACCAUCACUUAGUUGAGGUAAGUGGAAUAUGAAGAAGAGUCAGCUUCAGUCUCCCUUACUUCCUAACUCUCAGCAAAAAUCACUAUCAUCUAUGGUCAAUCCUUUCAAAAUCCAACCAACCCUGUAUUUUAUGUUUAUAUCAUGCAAAUAUGAAGAAUUACCUUUAAACUUGUGAAUUAAAUCAGACUCAUCAACAAGCCGAAUUCGUGAAUCUGCAGAUGUGAUGAGUACUUCUGAUGAACUUCCAGGUGCAAACUGUUUUAAGAAAGCAACCAACGGGGGAAGAAUAAAGUGAAUACAUGGCAGGCAAGAAAUAUGCAAUAGGUUCCAAGUAAGGAAUAUCAAAUUCAACUAGAAC